rnacentral:rRNA from 1 species
AGUGAACGCUGGCGGUAGGCCUAACACAUGCAAGUCGAACGGCAGCACAGUAAGAGCUUGCUCUUACGGGUGGCGAGUGGCGGACGGGUGAGGAAUACAUCGGAAUCUACUUUUUCGUGGGGGAUAACGUAGGGAAACUUACGCUAAUACCGCAUACGACCUACGGGUGAAAGCAGGGGAUCUUCGGACCUUGCGCGAUUGAAUGAGCCGAUGUCGGAUUAGCUAGUUGGCGGGGUAAAGGCCCACCAAGGCGACGAUCCGUUGCUGGUCUGAGAGGAUGAUCACCCACACUGGAACUGAGACACGGUCCAGACUCCUACGGGAGGCAGCAGUGGGGAAUAUUGGACAAUGGGCGCAAGCCUGAUCCAGCCAUACCGCGUGGGUGAAGAAGGCCUUCGGGUUGUAAAGCCCUUUUGUUGGGAAAGAAAAGCAGCAGGUUAAUACCCCGCUGUUCUGACGGUACCCAAAGAAUAAGCACCGGCUAACUUCGUG